UGGCUCAGUGGUUAAGAGCACUGGAUGCUCUUCCAGAGGUCCUGAGUUCAAAUCCCAG
rfam:Rattus norvegicus chromosome 5, whole genome shotgun sequence.